UCUUCCACAAUGGACGAAAGUCUGAUGGAGCAACGCCGCGUGAGUGAUGAAGGGUUUCGGCCCGUAAAACUCUGUUGUUGGAGAAGAACAGGCGUGAGAGUAACUGUUCACAUCUUGACGGUAUCCAACCAGAAAGCCACGGCUAACCACGUGCCAGCAACCGCGGUAAUACGUAGGUGGCAAGCGUUGUCCGGAUUUAUUGGACGUAAAGCGAGCGCAGGCGGUUUUUUAGGUCUAAUGUGAAAGCCUUCGGCUUAACCGGAGAAGUGCAUCGGAAACCGGGAGACUUGAGUGCAGAAGAGGACAGUGGAACUCCAUGUGUAGCGGUGAAAUGCGUAGAUAUAUGGAAGAACACCAGUGGCGAAGGCGGCUGUCUGGUCUGUAACUGACGCUGAGGCUCGAAAGCAUGGGUAGCGAACAGG
rnacentral:rRNA from 1 species